AGUGAACGCUGGCGGUAGGCCUAACACAUGCAAGUCGAACGGCAGCACAGAGGAGCUUGCUCCUUGGGUGGCGAGUGGCGGACGGGUGAGGAAUACAUCGGAAUCUACUCUGUCGUGGGGGAUAACGUAGGGAAACUUACGCUAAUACCGCAUACGACCUACGGGUCAAAGCAGGGGAUCUUCGGACCUUGCGCGAUUGAAUGAGCCGAUGUCGGAUUAGCUAGUUGGCGGGGGAAGGGCUCACCAAGGCAACGAUCCGUAGCUGGUCUGGGAGGAUGAUCAGCCACACUGGAACUGAAGCACGGUCCAGACUCCGACGGGAGGCAGCAGUGGGGAAUAUUGGACAAUGGGCGCAAGCCUGAUCCAGCCAUACCGCGUGGGUGAAGAAGGCCUUCGGGUUGUAAAGCCCUUUUGUUGGGAAAGAAAUCCAUCUGGUUAAUACCCGGGUGGGAUGACGGUACCCAAAGAAUAAGCACCGGCUAACUUCGUGCCAGCAGCCGCCGUAA
rnacentral:rRNA from 1 species